AGUGAACGCUGGCGGUAGGCCUAACACAUGCAAGUCGAACGGCAGCACAGUAAGAGCUUGCUCUUACGGGUGGCGAGUGGCGGACGGGUGAGGAAUACAUCGGAAUCUACUUUUUCGUGGGGGAUAACGUAGGGAAACUUACGCUAAUACCGCAUACGACCUACGGGUGAAAGCAGGGGAUCUUCGGACCUUGCGCGAUUGAAUGAGCCGAUGUCGGAUUAGCUAGUUGGCGGGGUAAAGGCCCACCAAGGCGACGAUCCGUAGCUGGUCUGAGAGGAUGAUCAGCGACACUGGAACUGAGACACGGUCCAGACUCCUACGGGAGGCAGCAGUGGGGAAUAUUGGACAAUGGGCGCAAGCCUGAUCCAGCCAUACCGCGUGGGUGAAGAAGGCCUUCGGGUUGUAAAGCCCUUUUGUUGGGAAAGAAAAGCAGCAGGUUAAUACCCCGCUGUUCUGACGGUACCCAAAGAGUAAGCACCGGCUAACUUCGUG
rnacentral:rRNA from 1 species